rnacentral:rRNA from 1 species
UACGAAGGGGGCUAGCGUUGCUCGGAAUCACUGGGCGUAAAGGGUGCGUAGGCGGGUCUUAAGUCAGGGUGAAAUCCUGGAGCUCAACUCCAGAACUGCCUUUGAUACUGAAGAUCUUGAGUUCGGGAGAGGUGAGUGGAACUGCGAGUGUAGAGGUGAAAUUCGUAGAUAUUCGCAAAGAACACCAGUGGCGAAGGCGGCUCACUGGCCCGAUACUGACGCUGAGGCACGGAAAGCGUGGGGAGCAAACAGG